UGGGGAAUAUUGCACAAUGGGCGCAAGCCUGAUGCAGCCAUGCCGCGUGUAUGAAGAAGGCCUUCGGGUUGUAAAGUACUUUCAGCGAGGAGGAAGGCGUUGUGGUUAAUAACCGCAACGAUUGACGUUACUCGCAGAAGAAGCACCGGCUAACUCCGUGCCAGCAGCCGCGGUAAUACGGAGGGUGCAAGCGUUAAUCGGAAUUACUGGGCGUAAAGCGCACGCAGGCGGGUUGUCAAGUCGGAUGUGAAAUCCCCGGGCUCAACCUGGGAACUGCAUCCGAAACUGGCAGGCUAGAGUCUUGUAGAGGGGGGUAGAAUUCCAGGUGUAGCGGUGAAAUGCGUAGAGAUCUGGAGGAAUACCGGUGGCGAAGGCGGCCCCCUGGACAAAGACUGACGCUCAGGUGCGAAAGCGUGGGGAGCAAACA
rnacentral:rRNA from 1 species